CAGUUACGGACCGAACGCCGCACGACACGGCCGAAUCAACCCACCCCCGAGCCUCGUUUUUUGCUCUUGCUCUCGGUGCCUCGUUCCUCAAACACCCUCUCGCUUUCGCACCAGUCGAUAACCCGUGAGACCCAAACGGGGCCUGCUCUCGUGUCCGAUCACCGGGAACAGCGAUACUCGAAUACUCGCCCACCUUCGCGCUCACCUUCAGCCGGAGCCCCGACUCCGCGCGCUCAUACACUCUCACAAAUACACCCACCGACACCCACCUCACUCGCACUCACAUAUCAUACAUACUUUACAGGUACAAAUAUGUGCGCAUGUAUCGAGUACUGAAACGUCAUUUAAUACGUGUGUUCCCUAUAACGGAUAACCGACAGCAGAACGCGUGUGCAAUACGAUUCGAUUGGUUCACUAUCGCAUUACUCGCCGUUGGCGAGCGCACCUAAAUCCGGCUUGUGUAUAUCAAUUCAUAUCGAUUCGAUAAUGUUCGAUCGGUCACUCGGCAUUGUGCACAUAUCGAUUCGGUAAUCUCGUUACUCUCGUCGAAUUCGUUGCAUUCUCAAGGCUGAAUUUUCAUGCUCGCAGUACGAAAAGCAGCGGUGCCUCGACGUGCGUCUCUGCUGUGUUUAAUGGAGUAUUAAUGAAUCUGUGAUUGUGCUGUUGAAGUUAAAAAUUCACGAGGGCAUUGUCACUGAUGCGACAAUGCUGGCAGGCGUUUUUUAAAUUAGCGCCUUCGCCGAUGGGACAAUAAUGGGGAUGCGGAAGUGAGCUUUGUGGAAUUUCGACAAUUCUCAUCAUGGGACGUGGAGAAACGAAUAAAACAAAUUUCCAUCUCCUGACCACCGGAAGCGCACAAUCUUUCAGUGCUUCUCUAUAAACACUUUCGACGCGACGAGCAAUAAAUACAAUUAUUGCGGAGGAACGUAAGGAUUGCGUUGCGGUUUUCAGAAGACGCCGAAUUCCCUGCUUUGUCGGAUUCUUCGGUUGAAUGUACUUAAGGUGGGAUCGUGGCUUUAGUGGUUUCAUUUUUGUUUUCCUGUCAUUUUGAAUGUAAAAUAUCGCGGUUUGUAUUCGCUCCGAAUACAAUUUUGGUCAAUUUUUGAAAGCAUUUAUUUGCGGAAAGUUACUGACGGAAGUGGAAUAGCCUUUUUGUUUAAUCGUUCGAUAAAACUUCGCUUUUUGAGUGUUCGUGUGUGAUCGACGAUCACUCGAUUCUCGGUGCGGAAUAAGACAAGGCGUCAUCACUUUGUAAACUUUUGAACUUUGUUGGCAAUAAUUUUCUUUCGGUCUCACCUGAACUCUGUCGCACUCAAGUGGUAAUACGAGGAUGUAACGUGAGAAGACGAAUGUGAGAACGACGCGUCAACAUAAAAUACAACGUGCGUGCUCCUUCCCGCUCUGGCUGUCAGCUCGCCGCUCCUUCUCUCUUCCUCGUUCCCCCACUUCCCUCUCGAGCUUCUUCGUGCUGUGAGUUUAACACGUUAAGGAAUUAUCAAAGAAGACGAAUCGCUUUAUCGACGAAAAGUGCGGCAAAGGAGCAGCAUUCGAAGUUGGUUCGAUUAGCGGAAAUACAAUAUUCCGAGGGCCCCUCGGACUGUGAUCAAGGGCACACGACUGCGCACCACCCUGGCGAAAAUUGGAAUUGACGGCACACACAAAACUACGCCGCGACCACCACCGCCGCGAAUGGCGGCCGCGAGCUUUCCACCGAACUUUUCCAACGUCGGCGUCAUAGACAACUGGCCCGACUGGGGACAAUUGAAACACUGUGGGCUCUUCCGGGCCGCUAUUACGCCGUUUUCCCAUCGGCGGACGUCUGAUCGGAUCGAAUCUUUUCGAUAUGAACGCAUUUAUUCUACUGGAAAACAACCUUAACGGCGACCCGCCGCGUUGCUGCCCCAAAUCCUGGCUACGUAAGCCACGCUCGUGAGGAUCUUAACGCUGUUCUUUUGAAACCAAUGAAUGUCAUUCGAGAAAAAAGAUUCCGGGUUUAACAAUGCACUGGCAACUGAGAACAAAGUGCGAAGAAUCUUCGAUCUUUAGACAGCGCCUCAUUCAUUUUUUACUCAACUGACGCGUUGCUCAUGGCCAACGAGAUUAAAGUAGGUCGAUCGUUCUAUGAGACUCGUCAAGUUUCCGACUACUUUAUGUUUAUUUAUUUGAAGUCUAAAUUAUUAAUAAAAUUAACAAAUACCUACACUGAGAAUAGUUUUAUCAUAAGAGUGUAAUAAAAUGCUUUAAAAUUA